rnacentral:misc_RNA from 1 species
AAAAAAAAAUCCCUUUUUUACUUUUGCUCUGGAAUCUGGACUCCAUAUAAUGAAAAUGUCAGCUUAAGUAAUUUUGAUUGCUGUAUAUUAAAUAUUAAUCAUAAAUUUUGAUGAGUAAAAUGCAUGUAAUUACUAUAUAUUAUAUCUUUGAAUUCUUCUUACUAAAUAUAUCAACUUCUUUCAAAAUUCCAAUUUGACACAUCAGUUUAUUUAAGAAACAUACAAAUUUUUGCAAUUUAGUAAAAGGCCUUAAUCAUGUCAAUAUGAACCAAGAAACUGAGAUAUUUUAUGAGCAAGUUAAUUAUAUCACUAAAUGAUUAUAU